GGGCAUUUGGUUUAGUGGUACAAUUCUCGCUUUGGGUGCGAGCAGUCUUGAGUUUGAUUCUCGGAAUGCCCU
rnacentral:tRNA from 1 species